ACUAGCCCAGCAGAUUUCCCCAUUAUGCUUCUCUUCUCAGUCCUGCUGUCCAUCAUUGGUCCCAGUGUCCAGCAGCUACAGAACUUGAAGGACCCAGAAUUUGUGGCUCCGGGUGGGACGGUCACCAUGUCUUGCCGAAUGGACAGUGGGAGCAUCAGUGACAGCAACCAGCCUAUGUGGGUGCAGAAAAAACCUGAGAGUAAACAUCGACUGAUGAUGUACACCACCAGGAACAGAGCACCUGACGUUCCAGCCCGUUUCUCUGGGUCUAGCUCAGGGAAUGUGAUGUCCCUGACCAUCACGGGGUCCCUUCUGGAAGAUGAAGCUGUUUAUUACUGUGCUGUGUGGACUGGGAGUCAGUGGCACAAUGCUUCAUUCAGACGGGGAAGUGAGACAAAAAACUCUUCUCCUUUGCUCCCUGUGUACAUCAGCAGAAUCUGA